rnacentral:rRNA from 1 species
AUACGGAGGGUGCAAGAGUUAUCCGGAAUCAUUGGGUUUAAAGGGUCCGUAGGCGGGCGAUUAAGUCAGAGGUGAAAUCCCACAGCUCAACUGUGGAACUGCCUUUGAUACUGGUUGUCUUGAAUUUUAGUGAAGUAGAUAGAAUAUGUAGUGUAGCGGUGAAAUGCAUAGAUAUUACAUAGAAUACCGAUUGCGAAGGCAGUCUACUAACUAACAAUUGACGCUAAUGGACGAAAGCGUGGGGAGCGAACAGGAGUAGAAACCCGAGUAGUCC